GGUGGUGCAGCUUGGCCUCUCCCAAUUUGAAGAGACCCUUGUCCAGCAGGCCGAGGCAAGGAGGUCAUCCCGAAACCAGCAAAACCAGGGAGCUGGACGGGGGACAGAUUGUCUUUGUCUUCAGUGUGGGAGGGAUUGUUGUCACUCUCGAACUGGCCUUCUCAGCCACACCAGACGCUAUUCUGAGUCCUCCAUUCAGAGCACGUGGCCCUAGUCUCUUGAGAGGGAAGGAUGCCUACUUAGGGGUGCUUUAACGCUUGCGAUCAGAACAGGUGUCGGCUUGCUUAGUCCAAAGGAGGAAAAGCUAAGGAGCCAAAGCUGAUGAAGCCAGCAUGCGUCAGUGUGGUCAGUGAUGCAGCAGCCUCCCUCCAUUCGGUCCUAACAGUUGGGCCCGUGCUGUUUUGACCCAGCUGUCUCUUUUGCAGUCCCUCCCUCUUGUGUGGGUCCCUCCCAAGACCAGGUCGGUGGAAUAAGACCCUCUUUGGCUUCUUUCCAAGCCUCGCCCUCUUCCCCCCCCCAAACCUUUUUUGUUUUUGUUUUUUUUAAUCCCAUUCCCGGGGCCUGGUUCAUCUCUGUUUCACCUCAGCCCAGAGCAAGGUCACCUCUGUGUCCCAUGGAAAAACCCCAGCGACAGGAUUCCCCCGGGCUGGAGAGCAGCAACAUUGCAGCCCAACCCUUUCAGCUUUGCUCUCCCGGCCUUUUAGUUCCCCACAUCUGGAACAUUGGGUAAUGUUUAACAGUGGCAUUGAAGCUGUGGAUUCGGUGACUCUGCCCCUCCUGGUGAUCAGAGGAGGACCGAACAAAACGCAGCGGGAGCUGGCUGGAGGAACACCCUCGGGGAGACCUUCCGCUCCUUCCCUAGCCCUCCGAGAUGGGAUCCUGGCUGCUGGGGGCUUGGCCCGCCACUUUGGCCCUCCUGGUUUUCAUCGAUGUGGGGCAUGGAGCAGAGCUCAGGGACGCCGCUUGGGAGGCAGAGGGUGACCCCCGCAAGGGAGAGGUGGCAAAUCUCCGGUUGUCCAGGACCACCCAGCGAAGCAAACCCACCUUCUACCGGACCGGCAGCCUUUCUGCCCUCAGCAGAGGCCUGAUGACCAACCUGAGCGUUGUGGAAGAAGUCCCAGAAGAAGUCGAGGACGCCCAGCGUCGUGAGAGGCAGGCCAGCCUCAUCAGGGAUCCCUGUUGGGGGUGCUGUGUGACUCGGUUUCCCAACCACACAGGGAGCAGAGAGCCCGCCAGAGGGGAUGCGGGGCGACCGGGCACCACCCCUCCACCCAAGCCACCAAAGAGGAACACGACCAAAGGGUACCACCGUCCUGGCGCGUACACCCCCAUGGGGAAACUGCGGCCGGAAGGCAGGCAGGCCGGAUCCUCUCCUGAGAUAAAAGGGUCGGGCCGCCAAGAAGCCAACGCCACUGAGCGCUGCCGAGGCUGCUGUGGGGCAAACGGUCCAGCAGACGGUCGGCCCCUGGGAAGAGGGGAGGAAGGGAGAGGGUCCCAAACCUCGCAGGGUCACUCCGGCGAGAGGCCGCAGAGGCCUGUCUCGGACCGGGAGGUCCCGGCCGACCGGCCUGCCCAGAAGGGAGAAAACGGCUGGUCCUCCUUCUCCAGAGGCGUCCAUGAGCCCCAAAGGCAACCACACCGAGGAGGGCCGUGAAUGGCGAAGGGCAACCGGGAAAGAGGCCACGAACCGAAAGAAGAUCCUUGGCAGGAACGGGAGAUGAAGGCAGAGAGAGUCUUCACCUGCACAGACCCUGCCUCCCCAUGGACUCCCGUUCUCGUCACUCUCUCUCUCUCUCUCUCUCUCUCUCUCUCUCCCCCCCCCCCACAGAAUCAAGAAACAGCAGCCAAGAACUGACCCGGACUUGGCCAACGAGGCCCCGCGGGGGGAGGNNGCCAACGAGGCCCCAGGUGGGGAGGGGGCUCGGGCAGCUCUGGAGGGCUGGGGCGGAGCUGGUCUAGGCUGGCCCUGUUUCAGUCCGGGCAACGCGCUGCCCACCUGCCGCAGGGGAGCCACGUGGGAACCUCCUCCUUUGGACUCAGAGGCAUGAUGGCUGGAAGUGUCGGCUCUGUUACCUGGUGCUUUAGAAGCAAACCAAAAGCUGGACCCCAAGCAAGGAGGAGGAGGAGGAGGAGGAGAAAGGCAACCCACAAACGAUAUAGAUAGAGAAAUAUAGAAAGAAUUAAAUUAAAAAGCUGCUCCUUCUUCCUCCCCCCAGCUUUAAUUAGGGCUUUCAAAUGGUCAUGUGCUUGGGUGUGUGCAAUUUCUACAAAAUAAUACUGUUCCUGUAAAAUAAAAAGCAACAGGACUUAAGGAUUUGCA
rnacentral:lncRNA from 1 species